GGAGAGUUGUCCGAGCUGGCCGAAGGAGCACGAUUGGAAAUCGUGUAAACGUCAAAAGCGUUUCGAGGGUUCGAAUCCCUUGCUCUCCGCCA
rnacentral:tRNA from 1 species